CAGAGGUGUUUACAAAGUCAC
rnacentral:siRNA from 1 species